UGGACCGAUGAUGACCUGCCCCGGCGGUGAUAUAAGUCAAGGACGAUGACUACAAUUUUCUGUGUCUGAGGUUCAC
rnacentral:snoRNA from 1 species